UACGUAGGCAGCGAGCGUUGUUCGGAGUUACUGGGCGUAAAGAGUGCGUAGGCGGUUUUCUAAGUUUGGUGUGAAAUCUCCCGGCUUAACUGGGAGGGUGCGCCGAAGACUGGAAGGCUUGAGUAUGGGAGAGGUAAGCGGAAUUCCUGGUGUAGCGGUGAAAUGCGUAGAUAUCAGGAGGAACACCUGCGGUGUAGACGGCUUACUGGACCAUAACUGACGCUGAGGCACGAAAGCGUGGGGAGCGAACGGG
rnacentral:rRNA from 1 species